CAUGUACUCCCUCCGUCCGAAAAUACCUGUCAUCAAAACGGAUAAAAGGGGACGUAGCUAGAUGUAUUUUAGUUCUAGAUACAUCUUUUUUUUAUUCAUUUUGAUGACAAGUAUUUUUGGACAGAGGGAGUAUCAG
rfam:Triticum aestivum genome assembly, contig: Triticum_aestivum_CS42_TGACv1_scaffold_062629_1DL